rnacentral:rRNA from 1 species
AGUGAACGCUGGCGGCGUGCCUAAUACAUGCAAGUCGAACGGAAUUUAAAAGAGCUUGCUCUUUUAAAUUUAGUGGCGCACGGGUGAGUAAUAUAUAGCUAAUCUGCCCCUUGCUGGAGGACAACAGUUAGAAAUGACUGCUAAUACUCCAUACUCCUUUUUACCAUAAGAUAAAUCGGGAAAGAAUUUCGGCAAGGGAUGAGACUAUAUCGUAUCAGCUAGUCGGUGGGGUAACGGCCUACCGAGGCUAUGACGCGUAACUGGUCUGAGAGGAUGAUCAGUCACAUUGGAACUGAGACACGGUCCAAACUCCUACGGGAGGCAGCAGUAGGGAAUAUUGCGCAAUGGGGGAAACCCUGACGCAGCAACGCCGCGUGGAGGAUGACACUUUUCGGAGCGUAAACUCCUUUUGUUAGGGAAGAAUAAUGAACGGUACCUAAACGAUAAGCCC